ensembl:lncRNA
AUUCAUUCAACAAAUAUUUACUCAACACCCACCUCAUUGUGCAGCCUCAGUUCAGGGGCUGGGCAUCCCGCAGUGACCAAGACAGACCUGGUCUGGCCCUCUCAGAGCUCACCCUCUGCUGACGACGGCAGGCACCGAGAGCAUCAUGACCCCAUCGUUCAGCAUGUUGCAGUCCUGACGGGCACUAAGGAGAGGUUGAGUCCAGGGGGAUUCAGGGAAGGCUGAAUCACGGGAAGGAGGGAGGCAGGAAGGAGGGACGCGCUCAGGCAGAGGGAGCGUCUGUGUGGGGAAGCCUGCCUGGCUGGAGGGAGUGAGGGGUGGCCAUGGCGGGCCUGACACUAAAUGCAGCUGGUCAUCAGGGCUGCGCAGACCACGGGGAGGACUUUGAACUUCGCCCUGAGAGCAGUUUGAAGCCACUGGAGGAGUUUAGACGGGGGAAUGACACGAUUCCACUUAUGUUUUGAAAACAGUCCUCUGGCUGUGGGGUCAAGGGCAUGAGCAGCAGCAGAAAGCAGCUUGGAGUUUGUGAUGGGGACAUGUUUCCACAGUGGGCUUCCUCCUGGACCACGCUGGUUUACUAACGGCCCUUCCGAAGCUUGUCAAGAGGCCUGGUCUUCACAGCUACUGGCUGCAGCCCUACCCUAGACACUAGGUUCUGUUAAUGCAGCCCAGGGCUGCCCUUGCAUUUAUAGGCCUGCAGGCUGCUGCUAAGCAUGGGAUCAGCCAAGCCCCCUGGAUCUGUGUGAGGGGUGCUUUGAACCCAAGAGCCUACAAGGGAAGCUGGGGCCGUGUCUGCUGCCUCUGAGGAAGGAAGUCUGGCUUUGAACAUCUUUGGGAAGCUGGACGCCUGCCUCAUGGGCCAUGCCUGGAGCAACACUGCCCCCUCAUGGCCUGCUCUUCAGGCAGCCAUUUUGUACCUUGCUCUUCCUGGAGCCUCUUCACUCUCAGCUGAUGACCUCACUUCCUGUCCCUCCGAGAAAAUAGAAGCCACCAGGAGAGAAUGUCCAUAACCACCCACUACCACAGCCACACACCUGCCUGCAUCAGUGCCCGAGUCCUCUGCCUCUUUCCUGGAGCCAAGGCAGCCCCUCUACUCUGCACAACCAGAUCUUUUUAAAAAAUUAUUUUUGAGAUAUAAUUCACAAAGCAUAAAAUUCAUUUUUAAAGUGUAAAAUUCCUAUUUUAGCAUUUAGAAUUCAUAAUUCAAAUUUUAGCAUUUUCACAGAGUUGUACAACCAUCACCACUAUCUAAUUCUAGAACAUUUUCAUCACCCCAAAGUGAAGCCGCAUGCCCGGCCACCCCCAUGCUCCUUCCCCCAGCCCCCGGCAGCCACUCAUCUCCUUUCUCUAUGGAGAGGUUUAUUCUCUAUGGAUUCAACUCUUUUGGACAUUUCAUAUAAAUGGAAUCAUACACUACGUGGCCUUUGGCUUCUUUCACUCAUCAUGUUGUUGCCGAGGUUCAUCCAUGUUGUAACAUGUAUCAGUGCUUCCCUGCUUUUUAUAACUGAAUACUAGUCCAUUGCAUGCACAGACUACAUUUGGUUUAUCCACUCAUUAGCGGAUGGACAUUUGGGUUUUCACUUUUUGCCUAUGAUGAACAAUGUUGCUGUGAACAUUUGCGUACACAUGUUUGUGUGCCUGUAUGUCUUUAUUUCUCUUGGGUGUAUACCCAGGGGUGGAAUUGCUUGGCAUUUGGUAACUCUAUAUUUAACUUUCGGAGGAACUGCCAAACUGUUUUGCAAAGUGGCUGCACCAUUUGACAUUCGCACCAGUAACGUACAAGAGCUUUAAUUUCUCCACAUCCUCGUCGAUGCUUAUGCCUGUCUUUUUGAUCCUACCCACCUGGGUGGGUGUGAGGUGGUGUCUUCCUGGGACGAACGACCAGAUCUCAUCCCUUCUCGCCUGCUGGAGGACAGCGUUCCCCUGAUUCUCCCUCCCCUCUUCUUCAACGGGGUUUCCCUGUAUCCAGUCACCCCAGCAGCAUGCAAGCAGGUUCUUAUUUUUUCCCACCUUAAAAAACCCCAAAGCUCUCUUGACUUCAGUCUCCGUCCAGCCGCCUUGCCAUCUCUCUCCUCCCUUUUACAACAAAACUCCGUGGAAGGAUUGCCCUGACUUGUCUCCAGGUUCUCUCCUUUCAUUGUCUCUUGUGCUUACUCCCAUCAGGCUUUUGUCCCCACCCUGUCACCAGAACUCUUCUUCAAGGUCACCGGUGACCUCUGCAUUGUUGAAUCCAAUAGCCUUUCUCAGCCCUGUCUUAAGGAUCCACAGCUUUUGACACGGUUGCUCAUUCCUUCCUCUUUCUUGACUUGGGUUCCUGGUUCCCCCUCCUUCGCUCCCACCUCCCCCUCACUUUCCUGCUUUUCCUCAGCAUCUUCCUGACCUCAGAAAGUUAAGGGGUUAGGGACUCCAUCCUUGGUCCCUUCAGUUUUCCUUCUGCCCUCUUGGAUCUCAUCCAGUCUCACGACUUUAAGUGUUGCCCAAGUGCUGAUGCUCCCAGAUUGUAGCUCCAGGCAGGACAUCUCCCCUGAGCUUCAGACUCAUUUAUCCCACCACCCUUGGGACAUCUAAUAGGCAGCUCUGACCCAACAAGUCCCAAAUGAAGCUCCCUGUUCCUCCCUUUGAACUCGUCAAUUCCACCUGUCAGUAAGAGCAACACCAUUCUUUCUGCAAUUUAGAACAAAAUCUUGGAGUCAAAGAUGACGCCUCUCUUUCUCCCACACUCCAGCAAAUCCUGCCUCUUCUCCUCACCCACCGCCUCAGCUACCCCGGGGCCAAACCACUGCCAUCUCCUGUUUGGACAGUGGUUGCAGCCAUGGUCCCUGUUUCCACCCUUGACUUACACAGUCUAUUUUAAACGCAGUGCCCAGAGAGAUCUUGUUAAAAGGCAAGCUGGGCUACGCCAUUCCUUAGCUCAGAACCCUGCGAUGAAGCCUGUUGUCAUGGGGUCAAAGCCCUUGCAAUGGCCUCUGAGCUCCUACAGAAUCUGGUCUCCCCUCUUACACUCUUGCACCCCUCCGCUUAAUCCUCACUGGCCCUUUUCUGUUCCUCAGACACAGCAGGCAUGACUCUACCUAUGCACCUGCUGUUCCCUCUGUCUGGAAUAUUCUGGGCCAGAAAUCUACCUGACACUCUCCUUGUGUCCUUCCAGACUUUACUCAAUUGUCACUGCUUCAGUGAGGUCGUGUUGGACCGCUCUACCUAAAACCCAAACCUCUCAGAGGCUCCCUGUCUGCUUACUGGUUUAUUUUCCUCCUUGUGCUUACCCUCAACGUUCUGUCUAUUGUGUGUGUUGUCCUGGUUUAUUAUUUGUUUCCUCACUAGAAUGUGAAGCAGAGUGAGGGCAGGCUUUUAGUCUGUUUUGUUCGCUACUGUAUACUCAGCUCCUAAAAUACUGACUGUCGUGCAGUAGGUGCUGAAUAAAUAUUUGUGGAACGAAUGAAUGGAUGUCAAUAGUCUGGAAGUUCUUCCCGAUGCUGAAGAACAGCCUCCACCUGCUAUGCCAUGUACAGCCAGCAGGUGGCACUGUGACCACAGAAAUCGCAGGCCCCUGGCUCCCCAGCAGCUUUUCUCAGAAAUCUGCCUCCAUAGAUGC